rnacentral:rRNA from 1 species
GAUGAACGCUGGCGGCGUGCCUAAUACAUGCAAGUCGAGCGAACAGACGAGGAGCUUGCUCCUCUGACGUUAGCGGCGGACGGGUGAGUAACACGUGGAUAACCUACCUAUAAGACUGGGAUAACUUCGGGAAACCGGAGCUAAUACCGGAUAAUAUGUUGAAUCGCAUGGUUCAACAGUGAAAGACGGUCUUGCUGUCACUUGUAGAUGGAUCCGCGCCGCAUUAGCUAGUUGGUAAGGUAACGGCUUACCAAGGCAACGAUGCGUAGCCGACCUGAGAGGGUGAUCGGCCACACUGGAACUGAGACACGGUCCAGACUCCUACGGGAGGCAGCAGUAGGGAAUCUUCCGCAAUGGGCGAAAGCCUGACGGAGCAACGCCGCGUGAGUGAAGAAGGUCUUCGGAUCGUAAAACUCUGUUAUUAGGGAAGAACAAAUGUGUAAGUAACUAUGCACGUCUUGACGGUACCUAAUCAGAAAGCCACGGCUAACUACGUG